GAUGAAGAACGCAGCGAAAUGCGAUAAGUAGUGUGAAUUGCAGAAUUUAGUGAAUCAUCGAAUCUUUGAACGCACAUUGCGCCCCUUGGUAUCCCGAGGGGCAUGCCUGUUCGAGCGUCAUUUCACCACUCAAGCCUGGCUUGGUGUUGGGCGACGUCCUCUUUGGGGACGCGCCUCGAAACGCUCGGCGGCGUGGCACCGGCUUUAAGCGUAGCAGAAUCUUUCGCUUUGGAAGUCGGGGCCCCGUCUGCCGGAAGACCUGCUCGCAAGGUUGACCUCGGAUCAGGCAGGGAUACCCGCUGAACUUAAGCAUAUCAAUAAGCGGAGGA
rnacentral:misc_RNA from 1 species